GCUUGAAGCCCUGGCUUCGACACUGGCGGAGCAGCACACCUGGAUUGCUGUUCUGCUGGCUUACCCUGCACACCUGGAUUGCUAUUCUGCUGGCUUACCCCUGUGGUCUCACACCAGCUCUAACCUGUUCACAGAGGUGUCAGCCUUCUCUUUCCCUUUGCUGAAUGUCUACUCUGUGUGGAGAUUGGCAGGCUGCUUCUGCUGGACCUGCAGUCUGCCCUGUUCCCUCAGUGACAGAACAUCAAUGAGCUUGAGACUCCGGUUCCCCAGGCGGUCCAGAUUACCAUCGGAUAACAGGAAAGUCACACACGUGGGCAGCAGAGAUCACUGGAAACACAAAUUCGUGUCCACAGCCCUUUAGGGAUAGACACCAGGGCUGCCAUCUGCACAUGUGGCCUGGUCCCAGCAUGAGCACUGAGCCUCUGCUUGGAAGGAAGAGCCCUGGGCUCACACAGCUCCAGAGGUACCGUAGUCAUCACUGGAAAUUCCCAGAAGGCUCUGACAAAUUUCUGAACGCUGUGGGGGAAGGUUUGGAACAGAAAAAAAUAGAAAAAGUGUCUAAAGUCCCUCAA